rnacentral:rRNA from 1 species
CCUACGGGGGGCAGCAGUGAGGAAUAUUGGUCAAUGGACGAGAGUCUGAACCAGCCAAGUAGCGUGAAGGAUGACUGCCCUAUGGGUUGUAAACUUCUUUUAUAUGGGAAUAAUAUGUUCCACGUGUGGGCUUUUGUAUGUACCAUAUGAAUAAGGCUCGGCUAACUCCGUGCCAGCCGCCGCGGUAAUACGGAGGAUCCGAGCGUUUUCCGGAUUUAUUGGGUUUAAAGGGAGCGUAGGUGGAUUGUUAAGUCAGUUGUGAAAAUUUGCGGCUCAACCGUAAAAUUGCAGUUGAAACUGGCAGUCUUGAGUACAGUAGAGGUGGGCGGAAUGCGUGGUGUAGCGGUGAAAUGCUUAGAUAUCACGAAGAACUCCGAUUGCGAAGGCAGUUCACUGGACUGCAACUGACACUGAGGCUCGAAAGUGUGGGUAUCGAACAGGAUUAGAUACCCCGGUAGUC